rnacentral:rRNA from 1 species
GACGAACGCUGGCGGCGUGCUUAACACAUGCAAGUCGAACGGAAAGGCCCUGCUUUUGUGGGGUGCUCGAGUGGCGAACGGGUGAGUAACACGUGAGUAACCUGCCCUUGACUUUGGGAUAACUUCAGGAAACUGGGGCUAAUACCGGAUAGGAGCUCCUGCUGCAUGGUGUGGGUUGGAAAGUUUCGGCGGUUGGGGAUGGACUCGCGGCUUAUCAGCUUGUUGGUGGGGUAGUGGCUUACCAAGGCUUUGACGGGUAGCCGGCCUGAGAGGGUGACCGGCCACAUUGGGACUGAGAUACGGCCCAGACGCCUACGGGAGGCAGCAGUGGGGAAUAUUGCACAGUGGGCGGAAGCCUGAUGCAGCAACGCCGCGUGCGGGAUGACGGCCUUCGGGUUGUAAACCGCUUUCGCCUGUGACGAAGCGUGAGUGACGGUAAUGGGUAAAGAAGCACCGGCUAACUACGUG